rnacentral:snoRNA from 8 species
UAGGUCUCGCUAUCCAUGAUGACGAUUCAAGAUAUUCCCGUUCAGAGCAUGAAUCUGGUGGCUAGAUAUGACUUUGCUCAUGGUUCUUCCACCUUUGAUGAUCUUUCCUUGUUGUUCAAUGAACAUGGAUGAAGGGAAUAUGUUCUGAGUGGA